rnacentral:sRNA from 1 species
GCCGGCGCGGGGGGGACCCGGUGCCUCCCGCCCCCGGCCCCCGGCCUCGGCGGCGCCCCCGGCCUCAGGCGCGGCCGGCCACGACAAGGGACCCGAGGCGGAGGAGGGCGUCGAGCUGCAGGAAGGCGGGGACGGCCCAGGAGCGGAGGAGCAGACAGCGGUGGCCAUCACCAGCGUCCAGCAGGCGGCGUUCGGCGACCACAACAUCCAGUACCAGUUCCGCACAGAGACAAAUGGAGGACAGGUGAGCGGCGGGCCGCGAGGGCGAGCGGGCGGGCGGGCGCGCCGGGAAGGCUCGGACCUGGCCCCAGCGCCGGCCUCGCCGCUCUGCCGCCCCCUGCAGGUGACAUACCGCGUAGUCCAGGUGACUGAUGGUCAGCUGGACGGCCAGGGCGACACGGCUGGCGCCGUCAGCGUCGUGUCCACCGCUGCCUUCGCGGGGGGGCAGCAGGCUGUGACCCAGGUGGGUG